rnacentral:rRNA from 1 species
CAGUCGCCGCGGUAAUACAGAGGGUGCAAGCGUUAAUCGGAAUUACUGGGCGUAAAGCGCGCGUAGGUGGUUCGCCAAGUUGGAUGUGAAAUCCCCGGGCUCAACCUGGGAACUGCAUCCAAAACUGGCGAGCUAGAGUAUGGUAGAGGGUGGUGGAAUUUCCUGUGUAGCGGUGAAAUGCGUAGGUAUAGGAAGGAACAUCAGUGGCGAAGGCGACCACCUGGACUGAUACUGACACUGAGGUGCGAAAGCGUGGGGAGCAAACAGGAUUAGAUACCCCUGUAGUCCCUGUCUCUUAUAC